rnacentral:rRNA from 1 species
CCUACGGGAGGCAGCAGUAGGGAAUCUUCCACAAUGGGCGAAAGCCUGAUGGAGCAACGCCGCGUGGGUGAAGAAGGUCUUCGGAUCGUAAAACCCUGUUGUUAGAGAAGAAAGUGCGUGAGAGUAACUGUUCACGUUUCGACGGUAUCUAACCAGAAAGCCACGGCUAACUACGUGCCAGCAGCCGCGGUAAUACGUAGGUGGCAAGCGUUAUCCGGAUUUAUUGGGCGUAAAGGGAACGCAGGCGGUCUUUUAAGUCUGAUGUGAAAGCCUUCGGCUUAACCGGAGUAGUGCAUUGGAAACUGGGAGACUGGAGGGCAGAAGCGGAGAGUGGAACUCCAUGUGUAGCGGUGAAAUGCGUAGAUAUAUGGAAGAACACCAGUGGCGAAAGCGGCUCUCUGGUCUGUAACUGACGCUGAGGUUCGAAAGCGUGGGUAGCAAACAGGAUUAGAUACCCUAGUAGUC